rnacentral:rRNA from 1 species
GACGAACGCUGGCGGCGUGCUUAACACAUGCAAGUCGUACGGUAAGGCCCUUUCGGGGGUCCACGAGUGGCGAACGGGUGAGUAACACGUGAGUAACCUGCCCACAACUUUGGGAUAACGCUAGGAAACUGGUGCUAAUACUGGAUAUGUGCUCCUGCUGCAUGGUGGGGGUUGGAAAGCUCCGGCGGUUGUGGAUGGACUCGCGGCCUAUCAGCUUGUUGGUGGGGUAGUGGCCUACCAAGGCGGCGACGGGUAGCCGGCCUGAGAGGAUGACCGGCCACAUUGGGACUGAGAUACGGCCCAGACUCCUACGGGAGGCAGCAGUGGGGAAUAUUGCACAAUGGGCGCAAGCCUGAUGCAGCAACGCCGCGUGCGGGAUGACGGCCUUCGGGUUGUAAACCGCUUUCAGCAGGGACGAAGCUUUUUGUGACGGUACCUGCAGAAGAAGCACCGGCUAACUACGUG